rnacentral:rRNA from 1 species
UAUCCUACGGGGCGCAGCAGUGGGGAAUAUUGCACAAUGGGGGAAACCCUGAUGCAGCGACGCCGCGUGAGUGAAGAAGUAUUUCGGUAUGUAAAGCUCUAUCAGCAGGGAAGAUAAUGACGGUACCUGACUAAGAAGCCCCGGCUAACUACGUGCCAGCAGCCGCGGUAAUACGUAGGGGGCAAGCGUUAUCCGGAUUUACUGGGUGUAAAGGGAGCGCAGACGGCAGCGCAAGUCCGGGGUGAAAGCCCGCGGCCCAACCGCGGGACUGCCCUGGAAACUGUGCGGCUGGAGUGCCGGGGAGG